rnacentral:lncRNA from 1 species
UCUUUUUGAAUAAAUCUAAAAAAAUGAUUUUUACUUAUAUAUGAGGUCGGAGGGAAUAAAAAUAAAAGAUAAAAUUAAUGUUGAUAAGAUAAUUUUUUACACUUUUAAUGUAUUAAAUGAACAAUUUCUAAGAUAAAAUUUUUUCUUAUUAAUAUGUUUAACUAGUAUUCCGUUACACCGUUUAGCAUUUUUCUAAUAACAAUAACAACCCAAUUUUUUAUCACACCUCACAAGAUAAGGAUAUUGGCACAAUGUCGGUGGACAAUCAGCAGCUUUCUUACAUUUAGGAAUAACCGCUGUAAUGAACAAAGAGAAAAACAAAUGUUAUUAAAAUGAGAUAAAAUAGUUUGCACAAAGUACAUAAGGGAAUUGAAAAUGACAUAAAAAUGGCUUACGCUUAGCGGCCGCUUCAACAUCCGUCGCUUCAACAAUAAAUAGGGACAAGAAGAUAAUCAUAACAUAAACAAACUUGACAAUAUUAACCAUAUUUCCUGCCAUUUUCAUAUUUUAGAUAGAAUCGGUUUUAUCACUUUGUGAUUUAUAAAUUUGAUGCUCUCCUUACAUCAAUUAUAUAUAGUUUUUAGCACUUAUAUAGAGUUAUACAAA